UACGUAGGGUCCAAGCGUUAUCCGGAAUCACUGGGCGUAAAGCGUCCGCAGGUGGCUAUGUAAGUCUGCUGUUAAAGAGUGAGGCUCAACCUCAUAAGAGCAGUGGAAACUACAUGGCUAGAGUGCGUUCGGGGCAGAGGGAAUUCCUGGUGUAGCGGUGAAAUGCGUAGAGAUCAGGAAGAACACCGGUGGCGAAAGCGCUCUGCUAGGCCGCAACUGACACUGAGGGACGAAAGCUAGGGGAGCGAAUGGG
rnacentral:rRNA from 1 species